AAAAAAAAAAAAAAAAACACUAUGCAAAUGCAAAAUUAAGCGAGCUGUCUAAAUGAAAACUUUGUCAAAUAGGUAUAAUAAAACCUCUGUGAUUGCCACAUUCCGAUUUCAAUCCUAUGUUUUCUACAUCGUCCAAGAUUGAGAUGUGAAAUUUAUAAUCGAUGUAGAAUAUAUCUAGAAAAAUUAAAGCUCAGCCAAAACUCUAUAUUCAAAAUUUAAAUAUUUUAAUUUAUGUUAGUCCAAUUGAUAGGAUAAGAGCCUCUCUCCCCUAUGAAUUAAAUUAAUUUUUUUUUUUAAAAAAAGGGGGAAAUUCUAUAUUUAAAUAUGCAUUGAUAUUCAAUGUGCUUAGCAAAAUAAUCUGCUCCAAUAUAAUAUCUUUUUUUUAUUUUUUGGUUAUUAUUGGAGUUUAAAUUUAAAAUUUUAAAAUUUUAAAAA
rnacentral:misc_RNA from 1 species